rnacentral:misc_RNA from 1 species
GAUGAAGAACGUAGCGAAAUGCGAUACUUGGUGUGAAUUGCAGAAUCCCGUGAACCAUCGAGUCUUUGAACGCAAGUUGCGCCUCAAGCCAUUAGGUUGAGGGCACGUCUGCCUGGGCGUCACAUAUCGUUGCCUGAUGCCAGUUUCCUCGUGAUGGGUGACUGUGCAGGGCGAAUGAUGGCUUCCCGUGAGCAUUGUUGCCUCAUGGUUGGUUGAAAAUUGAGUCCUUGGUAGGGAGCGCCGUGAUAGAUGGUGGUUGAGUGACGAACGAGACCCAAUCAUGUGAGACCCCUACCGAAUUUGGCCUUCAUGACCCACAUGCGUCUUUGGAACGCUCAUGACAAGACCUCAGGUCAGGCGGGGCUACCCGCUGAGUUUAAGCAUAUCAAUAAGCGGAGGA